GAAAAGACCCUGAAACCGUACGCCUACAAGCGGUCGGAGCUGCACUUCGGUGUAGUGACGGCGUGCCUUUUGCAUAAUGAGCCUACGAGUUACCUUGACAAGCGAGUUUAAGCCCCUUCAGGGGCGAAGGCGAAGCGAAAGCGAGUCUUAACAGGGCGAGAGCUUGUUGAGGUAGACGCGAAACCGAGUGAUCUACCCAUGGGCAGGUUGAAGUUCCGAUAAUAUCGGAAUGGAGGACCGAACUGGUAAACGUUGAAAAGUUUUCGGAUGACCUGUGGGUAGGGGCGAAAGACUAAUCAAACUCGGAGAUAUCUCGUACUCCCCGAAAUGCAUUUAGGUGCAGCGUCGCCAAGAGUGUGUCGGAGGUAGAGCUACCAAUAGGCUAGGGGGCUUCACCGCCUACCAACCCCUCGAUGAACUCCGAAUGCCGACACAUUGCAACGGCAGUGAGGCGGUGGGUGCUAAGGUCCAUCGCCGAGAGGGGAACAACCCCAGACCAUCGGCUAAGGCCCCGAAGUGAUCGCUAAGUUGAUAGAACGA
rnacentral:rRNA from 1 species